CGCGGCAAGACGGAAAGACCCCGUGAACCUUUACUAUAGCUUGACACUGAACAUUGAGCCUUGAUGUGUAGGAUAGGUGGGAGGCUUUGAAGUGUGGACGCCAGUCUGCAUGGAGCCGACCUUGAAAUACCACCCUUUAAUGUUUGAUGUUCUAACGUGGACCCGUUACCCGGGUUGCGGACAGUGUCUGGUGGGUAGUUUGACUGGGGCGGUCUCCUCCUAAAGAGUAACGGAGGAGCACGAAGGUUGGCUAAUCCUGGUCGGACAUCAGGAGGUUAGUGCAAUGGCAUAAGCCAGCUUGACUGCGAGCGUGACGGCGCGAGCAGGUGCGAAAGCAGGUCAUAGUGAUCCGGUGGUUCUGAAUGGAAGGGCCAUCGCUCAACGGAUAAAAGGUACUCCGGGGAUAACAGGCUGAUACCGCCCAAGAGUUCAUAUCGACGGCGGUGUUUGGCACCUCGAUGUCGGCUCAUCACAUCCUGGGGCUGAAGUAGGUCCCAAGGGUAUGGCUGUUCGCCAUUUAAAGUGGUACGCGAGCUGGGUUUAGAACGUCGUGAGACAGUUCGGUCCCUAUCUGCCGUGGGCGCUGGAGAACUGAGGGGGGCUGCUCCUAGUACGAGAGGACCGGAGUGGACGCAUCACUGGUGUUCGGGUUGUCAUGCCAAUGGCACUGCCCGGUAGCUAAAUGCGGAAGAGAUAAGUGCUGAAAGCAUCUAAGCACGAAACUUGCCCCGAGAUGAGUUCUCCCUGAGACUUAGAGUCUCCUGAAGGAACGUUGAAGACGACGACGUUGAUAGGCCGGGUGUGUAAGCGCAGCGAUGCGUUGAGCUAACCGGUACUAAUGAACCGUGAGGCUUAACCUUACAACGCCGAAG
rnacentral:rRNA from 1 species